rnacentral:rRNA from 1 species
UACGGAGGGUGCGAGCGUUGUCCGGAAUCACUGGGCGUAAAGGGCGCGUAGGCGGCUUGGGAAGUCCGUGGUGAAAGCUCGUGGCUCAACUGCGAGUCGGCCAUGGAUACUCCUAAGCUCGAGCACUGUAGAGGCAGGUGGAAUUCCGGGUGUAGCGGUGGAAUGCGUAGAGAUCAGGAAGAACACCCGUGGCGCAAGCGGCCACCUGGCCAAGAGCUGACGCUGAGGCACGAGAGCGUGGGGAGCGAACCGG